rnacentral:rRNA from 1 species
UACGUAGGGCGCAAGCGUUGUCCGGAAUUAUUGGGCGUAAAGAGCUCGUAGGUGGUUUGUCGCGUUGUUCGUGAAAACCGGGGGCUUAACCCUCGGCGUGCGGGCGAUACGGGCAGACUUGAGUACUGCAGGGGAGACUGGAAUUCCUGGUGUAGCGGUGGAAUGCGCAGAUAUCAGGAGGAACACCGGUGGCGAAGGCGGGUCUCUGGGCAGUAACUGACGCUGAGGAGCGAAAGCGUGGGGAGCGGACAGG